rnacentral:rRNA from 1 species
UACGAAGGGGGCUAGCGUUGUUCGGAAUCACUGGGCGUAAAGCGCACGUAGGCGGAUUUUUAAGUCAGGGGUGAAAUCCCGGGGCUCAACCUCGGAACUGCCUUUGAUACUGGAGAUCUUGAGUCCGGAAGAGGUAAGUGGAACUGCGAGUGUAGAGGUGAAAUUCGUAGAUAUUCGCAAGAACACCAGUGGCGAAGGCGGCUUACUGGUCCGGAACGGACGCUGAGGUGCGAAAGCGUGGGGAGCAAACAGG